rnacentral:misc_RNA from 1 species
AAGUCGUAACAAGGUUUCCGUAGGUGAACCUGCGGAAGGAUCAUUAACACUCUUAUGAAAUUUAACAACCUUCAUAUAACAUUGUCCCGCGAACUGUUGCUUCUCUCUCCCGAGCUCUUAGCGCGAACGGCGCCAGUCAUGGAGGAGGUCCCUUUGAGUGUGAAAACACUCGACCGGACUUUCGGCUGGACGACGACAGACUAGGUAAGGGAGGGACAAAUCGUGCUCUUCGUCACCCCCAUUGGCGAAGUUGCUAUUCUUAACCUUUAUCAUUUAUUUUACCCCUGCUAAUUAUGAACUGACUGUUGAAUGGACCAUAUAGCAACUGAUAUUUAUAUCCUUUCUUAUAUGGCUCAUCGAUAUUCGUUAUCGAAUCAACAAUGGAAAACACAACUCUUACCAGCGGAUAUCUCGGUUCCC